ACAAUUGUAAGUACAAUGUAGCUACUACAGGUACAUUAGCCAUCUUCAUUAGUAGUUGCACUUAUACACAACCUUCAUAACCCACUUGCCCACCCACAUUUACACACAAUUCACCCACUUAAAUACCCAACACAGUUGCAAUCAAUUAAACCCAGGAGAGGAGCCUAAAACAGGCUCUCCAAGCAAAGAGGGAAACAAAAACAGGGCAGUUUGCUAGGAGUUUGCUGGGGGCAACAGGAGGAAGGAAAUCAGACAGCAAGGCCAGAUCUAGCUCUGGAAAAUGGAGUUAACCAGUACAGGAGGUGAACGGGCCGACCAGGGGGAAGACUGUUGGAUUUGGUUCUAGCUGAAGGGGAUGACCUCAUGGGACAUCUGAGGAUUGAAGAAACAUCGAAGUGGCAAGCACUACUGGAGAUAACAUCAGGGAACAGUGCUCCUCUCCAACUUAUUUACACAGGUGUGUAAAUAUAAACUUGAAAGAAGGGUUCCUUGCACAUGCUCCCAUCUUUGGUCACCCUCACCAGGGCUGUAUGUCUUCCGGAUAUCCAACUUACAACAGUUGCUUUAAAAUAAA